rnacentral:rRNA from 1 species
UACGGGGGGAGCAAGCGUUGUUCGGAUUUACUGGGCGUAAAGGGCGCGUAGGCGGCGCGACAAGUCACUUGUGAAAUCUCUGGGCUCAACCCAGAACGGUCAAGUGAUACUGUCGUGCUAGAGUGCGGAAGGGGCAACUGGAAUUCUUGGUGUAGCGGUGAAAUGCGCAGAUAUCAGGAGGAACACCAAUGGCGAAGGCAGCACUCUGGGACGUGACUGACGCUGAGACGCGAAAGCGUGGGGAGCAAACAGG